rnacentral:lncRNA from 1 species
UUCGGCAUCAGUAGAACAAGCCUGACUCUCGGAGGAGAGUCAGGCUUGUUCUACUGAUGCCGAAUGAUAAAUUCCAGGUACAAAUAUUUUGGUGGAGACCAGUCAUACAAGGAGAAUGGUCUAAUGCCUCCCAUCAAAAAGAGAGCUGUCCUAAGCAAGCACAGGUUACACCUGAAGCAUGAGGACUUGCAGUGAGUGGUGAACUUUAUCAACAACUACGCAGAGGAAAAUCCAAUAGUAUUACCAGGACGUCACCCACACAAACACAAGCUGCUGCCAUCCCAUGUGAAAAGUGCAGCAGUGUGGCGUCUGUACAAGGAAUCAUUGACAACACUUGAGGUACGUGUAGUCGGGCUGCCUUCCUUCAGGAAUCUGUGGAAAAAAUUGCUGCCCCACAUCUCAAGCACUAAGCCCAGCACAGACCUGUGCUGGCAGUGCCAGAGGAACAACUAUCAGGUCUUCAGAUCUGCCAAUCUGCCAGAAGCUGUUAAGUCAGCCAAGCUGAAGAAGCAAGAGCAGCAAGAGCAGCAUCUCCUGCUCGUUCAGAGUGAGCGGUCUGUCUACCAGAAGACGGUUGCUGACUGCAAGACCACCUGUCAAGACCUGCAGUUACCUCUGGGGGCCCUACUGAACCAGCAAGCAAAGACAUCAGGAUGCAUUACAGCUUUGAUUUUGCUCAACAAGUUAGCAACAUUUCCUCCU